rnacentral:rRNA from 1 species
UACGUAGGGCGCAAGCGUUAUCCGGAAUUAUUGGGCGUAAAGAGCUCGUAGGCGGUUUGUCGCGUCUGCCGUGAAAGUCCGGGGCUCAACUCCGGAUCUGCGGUGGGUACGGGCAGACUAGAGUGCAGUAGGGGAGACUGGAAUUCCUGGUGUAGCGGUGAAAUGCGCAGAUAUCAGGAGGAACACCGAUGGCGAAGGCAGGUCUCUGGGCUGUAACUGACGCUGAAGAGCGAAAGCAUGGGGAGCGAACAGG